GGCAGGUAAAGGCUUAUUGUAAGGGCUGCUGGUCCUUUGCUCUCGGAAGAACUCCCAGCUACUCCCAUCUUGUUCCAUACAAACGUCCCGGCGACAGCCCCCCGCGGAUUCGAGGCCCGAAUGCAAUCCUCGAUGAACUCACUCAUUCUUUUUGGUGUCGUGAUAUUCGUCACUGUAUCUCAAGCUGAGGGACAGAGCUUGCUCAACCUGUCAUCGUCUCUCGAGACGGUUGUUGGGGAGGUACGAAGUCAAGCCCAGUCAGGCCAUCCCCCAAUCCUCAAGAUCUCAUUGAAGGCAUCGAGAGCUUUCCGAGAUACCAUUUAAAGGGCUUGAAGCACAUCGUCUGGUGGUCUGUAAGGGGAAAUUCAAACUGACGGAAAGCUGAUGUACUGCGUAGGCCGCCUAUCUUC
rnacentral:lncRNA from 1 species